UACGGAGGUGGCAAGCGUUGUUCGGAUUUACUGGGCGUAAAGGGCGCGUAGGCGGCAAGGCAAGUCAGGUGUGAAAGCCCCGAGCUUAACUCGGGAAUUGCAUCUGAAACUGCUGUGCUUGAGUUCUGGAGGGGGUAGUGGAAUUCCCAGUGUAGCGGUGAAAUGCGUAGAUAUUGGGAGGAACACCUGCGGCGAAGGCGGCUACCUGGACAGAAACUGACGCUGAGGCGCGAAAGCUAGGGGAGCGAACGGG
rnacentral:rRNA from 1 species